rnacentral:rRNA from 1 species
UGAGGAACAUGACCUUCGGCGGGGGAUAGCCGGCCCAACGGCCGGGUAAUACCGCGUACGACCACUUUGGGACAUCCCUAGGUGGUGAAAGCAGCAAUGCGCCGAUGGAGUGCCUCGCGGCCUAUCAGCUAGUUGGUGAGGUAACGGCUCACCAAGGCAACGACGGGUAGCUGGUCUGAGAGGAUGGCCAGCCACAUUGGGACUGAGACACAGCCCAGACUCCGUAGGGAGG